AAAUUAGUACAAGGCGUGUUGUUUUUUUUUCUUUUUUUUUUAGACCCAACCUGUUUUUUGCCACCUGAGCCCGGCAGAUGCAAGGCCCGCAAGCGUCGUUACUACUUUGAUCCAACAACUGGAAGUUGCUCGUCAUUCAACUAUGGCGGAUGUGGCGGAAAUGGCAACCGAUUUAAAACUAUAAACCACUGCAAAAAUAAAUGCUUACCAAGUACACGUUCGCCUGAAUAUUGCCAGCUGCCCUUCGACUACGGAGACUGUGAUGUCGGUGAAGGGGUGAAAUGGUACUAUGACGCGGCCUCUGCGUUGUGCCUGGAAGAAAUUUACUCGGGCUGUGGCGGCAACGGAAACAUUUUCGACACUGAGGAACACUGCUAUGAUACGUGCGCUGAACUAAAACCAACUAAUGAACUGCCCAAGCGCAAGCCGCGCCUUAGUGAAGCAGGAGUUUCAGCUAUUUUAGGAAGCAAGAGGUUACAAGGCAUACUAGAAAACAUAUUCAGGAACAAACCCCCAAAAAACUUGAAGGUAGUUUUUAAUUUGUAUGAAGAUUAAAGUACCUAGAAUUUAAUUUGUAUGAAGAUUAAAGAAACACCUAGAAUUUAUUUUUUGCAUAUUAUUCUGUAUAGCCUAUACUUAUUUUAUGCACCUUUGUAAGAUU